AUCCAACAACAUCAAUCUCACGAAGUAAUCUAAACUUCAAUCUCUCGAAAAAAAUUGCAUUUUCAGACAUAAAAUACAUUGAUAUUCUUUUAAAAAAUUCGCCAGAGUGAAAAGUAUAAACAAAUGUCACAUACCUCAUAAAAAUUGAGUAAAUAUCCAGUAAUUAUCCACCUUAAAUUAAAUUUUUUAACACAGCAAUUUCCAACACGGCCGAACAUUUUAAAAGCGAGACUUGUUAUGACCCGUUUGAACGUUUUCUUAUUCGAAGCUAUAUUGAUGACGUAGUAUUGAUGACGUCACAUUAUAAUUAUUUUCUUAGAACUAUCAAAGGCGAGCUAAUUAGCGCCAUAUUAGUCGAUAGAAAUAUAUUGUGUAUCAUUGAAAACAAUCUCUAAUGACUUAGACAAUAAAAAAGAGUAAAUCAAAUAAAAAAGAGGAGAAAUAUACCGACUGUGCCGUAUUUAGCCUAAAUACUGAAGAAAAUCUAAAUAAAAACAAUAGACGACCUCUUUUACAUACAUUUUACGUUUACGAAGGGUUUAUUCAUUUUCUGAAUAUUACCUAUCACAUGUUGUCCAACAUUGUACGGUCAUUUCACAAGUAAAAGCAAAUUUACUGUACAUAAACUUAUUCAGUGCGGGUUUUGAUAGCAUCGGAUUGUAUCCCCUUGAUUAUCAAGCGUCGUUUGUUUGACUUUGUUGUUGUGAGAAAUUCAGGAAUGGAAACGUCUAUUUUCAACGGAUUUUCGGGGCGUUUCAAGAAAAAUAAAAGAAACAUGGUCAAAAUGUUGAUGGUUACUAAGAUGAACAAUUGAAAAACAUCAGUGGCUGGAAAAAAAUCAAGUCAUGUGCAGUGACUAGAAUGAAUACAACACAAAUUAUCAGAUUGGAAUCUUAUGUAGUAUUGAGAGUGGAUUUUUUUACAAUGGACCAGACCUCAUGACAAAUGUACAGCUGAUGGUAAUAACAAAUGUUCUCUUUGUGCUGCUAUUUUAUCCAACAGUAUUUGACUGUUAUGACCUUGUUCCAGAUCAUUUUCAUAUAGCUGAGCAUAAAAGUGUAGCCUUGUUUUCAUUCAAGAGGUCACAGUUGCAGUUAUUACUGAAAAGGACAGUUAGCAUUGUGGAUUAUGUAUUGGUGACAAAGAAAUGAAAAUUCACACAAAAAAAUCUCCUGACAUUGUGAAAAAGCAUAAGAUGUUGGAAUGAGAUGUACAUAUAGGAGAAUGAAAUAAAAUUCAUGUCUUCAAUUUA